GUGCAGCAGUCGCGAAACCUCCGCAAUACACGAAAGUGUGACGGGGCCAUCCCGAGUGCCGUCCGCUGAGGACGGCUUUUCCCCAGUGUACACAGCUGGGGGAAUAAGGAGAGGGCAAGCCUGGUGUCAGCCGCCGCGGUAAAACCAGCUCUUCAAGUGGUCGGGAAUAUUAUUGGGCUUAAAGUGUCCGUAGCCGGUUUAGUAAGUUCCUGGUUAAAUCUGGCAGCUUAACUGUCAGUCAGCUAGGAAUACUACUUUACAGAGGGUGGGAAAGGUUUGAGGUACUCCAGGGGUAGCGGUGAAAUGCGAUAAUCCUUGGGGGACCACAGUGGCGAAGGCGUCAAACUGGAACACGCCUGACGGUGAGGGACGAAAGCCAGGGGA
rnacentral:rRNA from 1 species